ensembl:lncRNA
CUUUGCGCACAGAGAUUUAACCGGAUUCCUUGAAUCUUUUAAUUAUAUUAUGCACUGCAGUAGGUGAAAUACCCAAAAUCCUAACGAUUUGUCUUCGGAGAAUGUGUUGGAUUAUUCACUGACGCACCAGUUGUCAGAUUGGCGAGCCUCGACCCGUCCUUGCUCUUGAAGGACUAGUUUUUUUUGGAGGCUCCAUGUAUAUACAAUGAUUAGACGAUUGCCUCACCUGUUUCACAUCACCUUCUUAUUUCAACUCGUCACAUCGCUAUUAGUCCUAAAUUGCCCCUGUCCCAACUUUUUUGGAAUGUUUUGCAUGCCUCAAUAAACAUUUAUCUUCAAAAAACUAUGCAGUUGAGUAGGUAAAACAUAAAAUACCUCAUCUUUAUAUGUUUUUGGUUAAAAUAUUACUAUUAUUAAAUAUCCUCAUUUCUUUAGAGGGAUACAUAAUAGUUCUCUGUAAUCUUACAUUUUUCCAGAUUUUUUUUUUUUUGGACAGAAGACAAACGUUUAUAUAGAAAACAGAAUUUAUUAAAGAAUUUGCUCUGUACUUGAGCAAUUUUAUGUGUUGAAAAAUGAAGUCUACAAGCAUGUAAACAAAUGAGGGUUAAGCAAUGGGCUCUCUCAGUCCUGGGAUUUGAACUUUUAAGCUGUUAUUUUUUUAAAAAAGUUAAAGCUUUAGACACGAUGCCGUGAACCAACAUGAUGUUAAACUAGUUACGAUCAAGUAACUGUAAUAUUAACUUUUACUAGUCUUUUACGUUACAUAUAGAAGUAUUACAGGUGUGUAUCAUAUACUAGCGAGGCGGCGCUGAAUCGAAUCAUUAUACACUGAAUAACGUAGUUGUGAACCCAAAGUGGAUGAACAUAAAAGCGGGAGAAACAGGUCUCACAAACAAUUUUUAUUGGCUCGCUUUAAUCAAACAAUACACAGAGAUACAUCUAUAAACAAUGAGCUGAAAGAAACUGUACAUUUGUAGUUGCACAUGUAUAUUGCUACUGCUGGUACUAGUGCUGUACAGUUUUGCCAGAUCUUACACUCGAUCAUUAGACCCGGCCUGAAAAGGUGGCCAAGCUUUAACACGCCGAUGCAUUUUUAGCUUUGCCAAGGAUUCAGUCUUGACCACAUCUGGACAAGGUACCAUUACACGCUGCGUAUAAAGUCAAAGAUCGUUUCACAGCUGCUAUAUAGAUCUAUUGUGGUGCUAUCACAGGAAAGACAACGAAACACGUGAUGAUACACAGCUUACAAACGUUCUAAGUAAUCUGCCUCAUUAUAAACAAGAAAACGAUGAGUGAUUCGCACCCCUCCCCGCCACGCACGCAUACAUAACAGGUUACACACAUUCAAACAACAACAACAACAACAAAAAAAUCCCUCAUUGAGCCAAUGGAAUGUUAGUCAUUUGGGCAAGUUGUCCGACUGUCUUUGUAAUCGCCAUGCGCAAUGUGUUUGUGUGUGCGCGCACCAAUGGCGUAACUCCUUCCCACUUUGAAAAGAGGAACUGACAGACAAUAACUGUUCUGGAUGUAGAAAUGUGGGAUGGGAUGAAAUCCCCCUCGAAACGCAUUGUAGCUUUCAUAAAAAAUGUGUCUCUACAAUCAAACUACUAAAAAAACUGCCUUUAGAAAAUAGUAGAUAAAAAUAUUCCCCUGAAUUGUACAAGAAGAGAGGUACAGGGAGCACUGGUUCGAGACAAGACGUUAUUCUGCUUCGUCGUCCUUCUUCUCCGUCUCUUCUGUUGCUGGUGCCUGAAAAGAUCAAAAAUACGCACAAUUUACAUCUGAUUCUUUUCGGGUUUUUUUUUUUAAAUACAAAAGGCAGAUAUUCUUAUCAAAUAUCACAGGCCCGAAGGCGUACCUCAUCGUCAUCCUUUGCCUCGCCGUUCUCAGCAGGGACUUCCUCUUUCUUCUCCUCGUCGUUGGGCUUGUCUUCCUUGGGCUCCUUAGUCUUUUUGGGUUUGGCAGGUGCCUUCUACAAAGAACAUGUCAUUACCGAUUAAUAAACUAUCAAUCUCAGUACUUUAACAAGGAAGUAAAACAAACCGACAGGCUUGUUUAUUUUUUUGUGUGUGUUUACCUUUGCCUUUGGCUUCGGCUCAGCCUUAGGAGGUGCCGGUUUCUGAAAAUCAAAUAAAAUCAUGCGGUUUGUGGUUAAAAAAAAAACACACAAACAAAAAAAAAAAACAGUUAUUUGUACAAACUAAAUGUGCUGGGUGUAUUGCUCAUCGGGUGGUUACUUACGUUUACCAAUCUCGCCGAUCUCCUUUUGGGCUGAAAACACACACACACAAAAACAUCAAAGGAACGUGUGAAUUUGUGCCGUCACAAAUUUGAGUAGUGAAAACAGCGUUCGUCUUACGAUUCAAAACAAACUUACCUCACUGGCUUCAGUGUCAUUGUUCGCCUGAAAAACAAAGAAAUUUUAAUCAGUUUAAAUGGAGAAAAACAAGAUGUUAUACUUCUUGAAAGAAGAAUAGAAACAAGAACUUUAAUGGCAACUCAAUGGUGCUCAAACUGCAAACACCGCCCCACCCCCUUCAUAUAUAUAUAAAAACUAAUGUUGAUCUCAAAAGCCCGCCAUUUUCUUGCCGCUGUGUGCUGAUUGGCUGCCCGUGUGCGCACGAGGGAGAAGGAGGGAACUAUGAACCCCGCCUCCCUUCCACACUAAUCUAUUCAGCAACGUUGACGAUUUAAUUAAAGAUAUACGAUUAAAAUGGCGUUUUGAUACCGAUUCUGAUUUCCCCCCUUGCUUUUCAUUGUUGCCAGGACAUACUCGGAUAGUUUGGGGCCGUUAUAAAGGAAAGGAAAAGGCCAGAAAAACGACAAGAGUCGCUGCGGUGUGCAAGAUUCGCCAUUUUUACAACCACAGAUUUGCACGAAUUCACAGCUAUGGCGACGAACGUGUAUCGUCUAUAAGCACAUUAAUACAUUUAUACAAGUAGAAUUCACUCCCAGAGAAACACACGCGUUUGUUUUAUUUUUAAUGUGUUUUUCGAGAAAAAGAAAGGAAAAAAAAACAAAAAGCGGUCGAAGGGAUCAUACCAGAGACCAUUGAGCUUUUCUUGGAGGAGCAUUUCCAUACAAGACCGUUUUCCAAAACAAGGAUCGAGUUUUUUUUUUGCAUUUAAAACCCCAAAACACAUACAAAACGAUUCGUAUACGUUCGAAAAAGCACAACGACCUACAAUGCAUGUAAUUUUAUUUAUUUAUUUUAAACGUGCAUUUAGCUUAUGAGGUUAUGGAGAGGGAAGAAUAAGUGAAAAGUAGAGAUCGCCUCAGUUACACCCCUUUGUCUAGCUCCAUGUAUCCAGGGCUACUUCGUCCAUUUGUAAACAGUGAGCAUGAAAAUAACCUGCUUCAGAAAAAACAAAACCACCUUCAUGCACUUAACUGAAACAGAAAUGCACGCGCUCGUGCAACGCGUUAAAGAAGGAAAACCCAAGUCCGUGCACACCGAAAUGAAGCGCGUGGCAAAAUCAAAACACAUAAGUAUAUAUAUAUUUUUUCUUUUUAAACGUGCAACAAAAACGAAUGCACACUGCAAACUUAAUGCGAGCAAAGCAAAAACAGAGAUAUAACUCUCGAAUGCAUGUUUUAAAAGCAAUGCAAUAAGGCACGUUUUGCACAUUUACACCGAUUAAAAGACAGAUCAAAGAGAAUUCCAAGUAUCACACAUAAGUACUUACUUUGCUCCUUUUGGGCAUGGCUGCUUUUGAGGUGUUAAAACACACACACACACACACACACAAAAAUAAAAAAUAAAACCAGGAAUAAGAUACAAGAAGAGGGGGAAAGUAAGCAAGGCAAAGAGACUAAAAAUAGCUAACAACAGUGCUUAGUUAGCUCGAUAAAAAGACACACAGGUUUCAGCGCAGGAAGACGUUAACGUCCCAUCGAAACACAAACUAGCUAAAACCGGAUUGGAUUCUCCCCCCUUUCCCCCCUCCCUCCCCUCCUGUUCACUUCAUCAUCACAGCACCGAGCUACUGACCACGCCUCCUGUCCGCCUCGCGCACUCACCCGAUUGGUGCUCGAAACCGAACGCGACGCCCCUCUCCGCCUCGCGUGCG